CCAGUAUAACCACAGUGUCUAUCAUUUUGCAACAACUAAACAGUUCAUUAAUGUUGUUGAAGGUUGUGAGAACAAUCAUGAAGGAGGAGCUGGAGGCCUCACAGACAAAAUCUUCCCUAUGGGACUUGUUCCGUACACCCAACCUGCGUAAGCGGAUAUGCCUCCUGUCCCUAGUGAGAUUUGUGGUGUGGACAUCUCUGUAUGGCCUGCUGAUCAACUUCCAGCACCUGAGGACUAAUGUCUUCCUAUU
rnacentral:lncRNA from 1 species